rnacentral:rRNA from 1 species
UACGGAGGGUGCAAGCGUUGUCCGGAAUCACUGGGCGUAAAGCGCACGUAGGCGGAUCUUUAAGUCAGGGGUGAAAUCCUGGAGCUCAACUCCAGAACUGCCUUUGAUACUGGGGAUCUCGAGUCCGGAAGAGGUGAGUGGAACUCCGAGUGUAGAGGUGAAAUUCGUAGAUAUUCGGAAGAACACCAGUGGCGAAGGCGGCUCACUGGUCCGGUACUGACGCUGAGGUGCGAAAGCGUGGGGAGCAAACUGG